rnacentral:lncRNA from 1 species
UUGCGUGUUAUUGAUCCCGUUUGAAGCUUUUGCUGAAGUUUUUUAAUGGUUACCGGUGAGAGAUACUGUUCGUAGAUGUUUCAACGAAUGUUGAGCGGAUAAUCAGAAUUUUCCUGUUAUUCGAGGUUCCGAUCUUGUAUCAGUGGGUAUUUUGGGUAAUUUUUCGGCAUCCCUGGCUUUAUUCCGACGAGUUCUUCAAAUUCUAGGGUUUUCCGAUUUUCGGACCUAGAGAUUUGAUGUUAUCC